AUUAAGUAAGUAAAUAGUUUGAAAUACAAGAAUUCAAAGAACAAUAUUUACGCUAUCAGUACACGCUGACGUAAAUGAGAAAUGAAGUGGUUAAUACAUCAGUUGGCGUACCAUUGUGACGAUUUCAUCAAGGAUUACCUUUGAUGGCCUUCAGAGGGAUAUUUAUUGCGAUAAAUGGGGGGGCAAAUGAGCAUAGAGCUCGCCUGAUGGUAAGUGACUACCGCCGCCCAUGAUCACACGCAACACCAGAGACAUUGCAGCCGCUGUCCACUGCUGAACAUAAGCCUUCCCCGGAAGAGAUAAAGGAAGAGAAUAAGGAGA